UCGAACGAGCUUAGAGAGCCUGCUUUUUAAGCUUAGUGGCGAACGGGUGAGUAACGCGUGAGGACCUGCCCUAGAGUGGGGGACAACAGUUGGAAACGACUGCUAAUACCGCAUAAGACCGCAUGGUAAAAGAUUUAUUCGCUUUAGGAUGGACUCGCGUCCAAUUAGCUAGUUGGUGAGGUAACGGCCCACCAAGGCACGAUUGGUAGCCGGACUGAGAGGUUGAACGGCCACAUUGGGACUGAGACACGGCCCAGACUCCUACGGGAGGCAGCAGUGGGGGAUAUUGCACAAUGGGGGAAACCCUGAUGCAGCGACGCCGCGUGGAGGAAGAAGGUUUUCGGAUUGUAAACUCCUGUCGUUAGGGACGAUAAGACGGUACCUAACAAGAAAGCACCGGAUAACUACGUGCCAGCAGCCGCGGUAAUACGUAGGUGGCAAGCGUUGUCCGGAAUUAUUGGGCGUAAAGCGCGCGCAGGCGGCUUCUAAGUCCAUCUUAAAAGUGCGGGGCUUAACCCGUGGUGGGAUGGAAACUGGGAGGCUGGAGUAUCGGAGAGGAAAGUGGAAUUCCUAGUGUAGCGGUGAAAUGCGUAGAGAUUAGGAAGAACACCGGUGGCGAAGGCGACUUUCUGGACGACAACUGACGCUGA
rnacentral:rRNA from 1 species